ACUACACAUUAUAUGAUUGUGUUUGUCCGGUUUCUAACUUGGGGAAAUUGUCCGCGUCCGUAAAAAGGCUUGUCAAUAUUAUCUCUACUGUCUUGCUGGGGCUGGGACAGCUUGACAAAAACUUCAAUCUCUGCUAAAAAGAUCAGUCUUUGUUUUAAGGCUUGGACUAUGAUGUCCUUAGAAAAAUUCAAUAUCUCUGCUAUAAAUUAUAUGGAGUUACAAUUCAAUAUUUCUGCUCAUUUGAUGGAGAGUAAAAAGUCCUUUGGACAAUGAUAUCUUGGAAAAUUCAAUACUCUGCUUAUACAAUGAUUCAAUGUUCUGCAACUUUGAUGGAGAGCAAAAAAUACAGUCUACAAAUAAGGGCUUGGUUAAUAUAUGGCUUGGCCUUGAUGUGAACAUUCAAUAUCUCUGUUAUAGAAAACUUCAGUCUCUGCUAAGAUCAGACUUUUCUGGAGAAAAUUCAAUGCUCUGCUUAAAAUAUAUAGAACUCAAUGUUCUGCUAAUUAUUGAUGGAGAGAAAAAAAAAAUGUUCUUUUAUAGGACUUGUGGUUGCUGGGGCUGGGACAGCUUGACAACAGAAGCUAGAUGUUCUUGGGGGCAGAGAUAUUACGACUGUAAGUAAAAGCCUUUCAAAACUAUAUCCCAAGAUUGGAGACAUCAAUCUCUGCUUAUAUGAGUUCUACUGUCUUGCUGGGCUGGGACAGCUUGACAUUAACUUCAAUCUCUGCUAAGAUUAGCCUCUAUUAAGGCUUUGGACAAUGAUGUCCUGAGAAAUUCAAUUCUCUGCUUAAAUUGUAUGGAGUACAAUUCAAUAUUCUGCAAAGUUGAUGGAGAGUAAAGUCCUUUUAAGGCUUGUUUUAAUGCCUUUGUAAGAUUGGAGAGCUCUGUCCGAUCAAAGAUAUUGUGCUGAAGCUGGCAGCAUCUUUAAAAUUCAAUAUAAUCUGCUAUAAAAAAACUUCAGUUUCUGCUAAGUUCAGACUUGUACAGUGUUGUCUGGAGAAAUUCAAUUAUCUGCUUAAACUAUAAAAUUCAGUGUUCUGCUAACUGAUGGAGAUAUAAUAUCAUAUUCAAUGUUCUGCUAACUGAUGGAGACUAUAUGUCCUUAAUUAAGGCUGGUUUUGCUGGGGUUGGGACAACAUGAUUCACAUUCAAUAUUCUCUUUUGAUCAGAAUCCCAAGAACUAGAGUGUGUAUAUGAUCGUUCUCAGGUUCGACUUCUCUCCCUCUAUUUAUAUAGCAUUGCGUAACUGGUUGUGUUUGAAUUGUUUUGUACUAGUAGGAUUUGAUCUUUAAUUUGAUCACAUAAUCUUUUAUAUAACUGUUAUGAGUUAUUACUAAUCUGUACUUUUAGCUUCAGAAGCCCAAGAACUAGAGCGUGUACAUGAUCUUUCUCAGGGUUGUGGAGACUCUAGCUUUUUGGUAACUUCUGGUGCACAGCAGGAUUAGCUGAACGAGCAGAAAACAUAAUAUGAAUUGGAAAUAUUAUGCUUCAGAAGCCAAGAACUAGAGUGUGUACAUGAUCUUUCUCAGGUGCGACUUCUCUCCCACUAUUUAAAUAUCAUUGUGUAACUGGUUGUGUUUGAAUUGUUUUGUACUAGUAGGACUUGAUCUUUAAUUUGAUCACAUAAUCUUUUAUAACUGUUAUGAGUUAUUACUAAUCUGUACUUUUAGCUUCAGAAGCCCAAGAAGUAGAGUGUGUGCAUGAUCUUUCUCAGGUUCGACUUCUCUCCCUCGAUUUUAGUAUCAUUGUGUUAUUGGUUGUGUUUGAAUUGUUUUGUACUGGUAAGGUUGUGGAGACUCUAGCUUUUUUGGUAACCUGUGGUGCACAGCAGCAUUAGCUGAACGAGCAGUUAUGUUUCUGAAAUCCUCUAACUGUUUGUUUUUAAGGACGAGCAGAGCUUUCAGCAGCUUUUGUUUCUGAAAAAUAAAAGACUUUUGUUUUCUCAGAAAACAUAAUAUAAAUUGGAAAUUCAACCCCUUUUCAAGCAUGUAAGUAUCUGAAUCUUUGAAUCCAAUUAUACUUCCAAGUUUUAUUAAUUUCAGAGACUCGUAAUCAUUCAUCUGAUAUGUUUUUCGAAAAGGCAUCUUUGGUUGUAAGUGGUGUGUAUAUGAAUGAUCUGAUCUUAGGUAAUUGUUAGUAUUCUCUUUUCAAUAUUAUAUUGGUGUUGCUUCUGUCUUGAUUGUUGUAGUAGAGACAGUGACUGAACCGGCAGCUUUUGAUCAGGUAACUUUUUACCCCUUAAUCAAAGCUCUAAAUUCAUAUGUUGUUUAUGCUGUAGAGAAGUUGAGAUCUCAUGAGUUUUUCAACAUCCUACGGUUUCUUCUUUGUCUUUACUAUACUGACUGAAUGUUUAUAUCAACAACAACAUUGAAAUACUGAUUUUGGCAUCUAAAACUUGACUCUAUACAACAACAUUUUGAGGUCUCUACUUACCCAUACUACAGUUUAGAUAUUAACUAUAUGAUAUUUUGUUUUUAUUAGGGGCAUGAUUGGAGCUUCUGUGGUGCAUGCACGUCGUCUUCAACACCCCUCUUCCCAAGUGGAUUGUUUGCUUUAGGAUUAAACAAAACUUCAACUAAGUUGCUCCCACAUCUCUAAUGCUAACACUGAUAUAAACAUAAAAACACAAGAACACCCACAUACACGAAACGUAACCAUAAAACACAAAUGAAAAUUGUCUACCCACAAACACACACGUUUCACGAACACACAUACCCUCUUUUUACUACCACUAGGUCACCACCUUUUUGGUUGUUCCAUUAUAUUUGAAAGAAAAUUAUUCACAUCUUCAAAAUAAGAAGGUAAAAUUUUUAGUUACACAAAAAUCCUUCAAAUUUUAACAAUCUUUAUUUAUGGUUAAAAUACAUGGUCCCGGAAGUUUGUGACUCUAUACAAAAAUGCUAAUUUUCACUUUGAAAUGCGUUAGUUAA